UUAGAAAAUCCAUAUAUGAUUAGAAUGGACUUUUAAGGAACGUAAUGUAGGCCAUGGUUCACGGUUAUGAAAGAAAUGGAUAUAUAGGCUCAAAUAAGUGUUAAAGGGUAGUUAAACCAAGGAUCAAUUCUUUCUAUUAAAAUAUAAUUCAUUUAUUAAAAUUGAAUUAAUUUGCUUCGAAUUAA